rnacentral:lncRNA from 1 species
AGUCACCCUAAGAAGGAUGUGUGGAAGACUUGACUGGAGGAUCAAAAUGUGUCGGGGGAAGGUGUACAAGGAGGAGUAAGGACACAGAUGUCCUGACUUCACACAGUGGGGGAUUAGAAGCCACCAUCAAACACAGAUGAAACAGGAAUAAAAGUAGUAGUACAUUACUUAAGCUUUAAAAGGGUAAGACUCCUGGGAAUUUGGAAGCUGAGACUUGAGGCAAGUAUUUAGGAUUUGCUGUCUCACCUCCCUGCUAUGACAGUCCUUAAUUAAUGGAGAUGAUGGAGAACAGCUUGCUGGGCUGAGUGGCAGGAGCCAUGCAGCUGCUGGGGCUGGAGUGGGUCAGGAAGCUUCAUCAAUCUGGGACACAUGACGUGCUUGGUGGUGGCGGAGCCUGACGCAUCCCUCUUCAUCGACAUUGUGUCAAUAGGAGCAGAGGCAUUUAGCUGUGUAAACACAGAGCUUCAGUGGCAGCACCCUAAAUGCUUAGCUGAUAGAUCCGGAAUUAAAUACAGACCUAGAAACUGGAGUUGGAAAACUUCCUGGCAGCACUCCUUCCCUGCCAUCCCGGUGAUCCCCUUCUGGAUGGAGGGUGUGGAGCUCAGCACAUUCACGUCUGCAGGUCAACUCUCCACCUUCCCACCCACUCUGUGCCUGGAAGGGUGACUCCUCUGGCCACCUCUGGCUUCUUGCUUGGUGUGAUCAAAGGAGACUGGAGGAUGCAAGGAGAGUGAAGCGGCUUGUUGGAUUUUGCUUGGCAUGGAAUUGAAUCAAUAGAUCAAUUUGGGAAGAAAUGACAUCUUGGAAGUAUUGAGAAUUUCAAUUCAUGAAAGUCUUGCUCCAUUGCCCUGGCUGGAGUGCAGCGGUGUGAUCCCCACUCACUGCAACCUCUGUCUCCCGGGUUCAAGCGAUUCUCCAGCCUUAGCCUCCUGAGUAGCUGGGACUACAGGCACGUGCCACCAUGCCUGGCUAAUUUUUUGUAUUUUUAGUAGAGACAGGGUUUCAUCAUGUUAGCCAGGAUGGUCUCAAUCUCCUACCUCAUGAUCCACCCGCCUCAGCCUCCCAAAGUGCUGGGAUUACAGACAUGAGCCACCAUGCCUGGCCCAGUGUUCUUUUCUUGUGCAGUCUAAUUUUGGUAUAAGGCUUUUGCUGGCUCUAUAAAAUGACAUGGAAAAUAUUUUCUCCUCUUCUACUCUCUGAAAAAGUUUGUGAAUAAUUUGUAUCAUUUGUUCUAUAAAUACACAAGAGAACUUAUCAGUGAAGUCAUCUGAAAAGGUUUUAAUCGUGAGAAGGUUAUACUGGUGAAUUUAAUUUCAUUACUACAUAUAAAACUAAUUAUGUUUCCUCUUUUUCUUGGAUAUGCUUGAAUAAUUGUGCAUUUCUAAUAUAUUUUAAUCCAAAUUGUCAAAUUUCAUCAAAAUUGUCAAAUUUCUUGGCAUACUAUCCCUGUAUUAGCCUUUUAAUGUCUGUAGAAUCUGUAGUAAUGUCUCCUAUUUUAUUUUUGGUAUUGAAUAUGUGUUUGUGUUUUUCCUUGGUCAGUCUUGCUAGUUUUAUUUACCAUUUCAAAGAAAUAAUCUACUUUAUUGAUUACCUUCGUUAUCUUUAUUAUUUCCUUACUUCUGUUAACAUUUUAUUGAAUUUGUCAUUUUUCUAGCCUUUGAGAUUGCAAGAUUAAAUUUUUUAUUUUGAAACCUUUCUGUGUUUCUAAUAUAAGCAAUUAAAGGUAUAAAAUUACUUCAAGUUCUACCUUAUAUGUAUCUCAUAAAUUUUAAAAUAUUAUAAAUUUAUUACUAUUUCAUUUAAGAUAUUUUAAAAUUUACCUUGCACUUUUUAAAAUUCAUGGCAUACUUGGAAGAUUUUGUUUAACUUUCCAACACAGUAGUGUUUUAAAAAAACAUAUUUUAUAUUUGUUAACUUCUAUUUUAACUCUAUUUAAUUUCAUCAUAGAGAAAAUACUAUGUAAUUUCAAUGCAUAACAUUUAUUGUGUCUUCUUUAAUUUCUUAACAGAUGGUCUGUCUUGGAGAAUGUUCCAUGUGCACUUGAAACAAAUAUGUAUGUUUUCUUGGAUAUAUACAGCUCAAUAGGUUAAAUUGUUUGAUAAUAUUCAGAUAUUCUUUUUCCUUACAGUUGUUUUGUCUAUUUGUUUUCUUAACCACCGGGGCAAGAAUAAAGUCUUCAGUUAUAAUUGUAAAUUUGUCUAUUUCUUCCAGUAGUUUUGUUAAAUUUGCCUAAUGUAUUUUGAAUAACUGUUUAUAUGUUGAUUCAUUUAGGAUUGUUAUGUCUUCUUGAUUAAUUGAUACUUUAUCAGUAUAAAAUAUCUGUCUUUGUCUUUAUGAAUAUUCUUUGUCUUGAAGUCUACUUUGCUUAUAAUAUAGCUGUAUUUUCUUUUUCAUGCAUAUUGUUUACAUGCCUUUUUACCUCCUUUUACUUUUCCCUACUUCUCUAUAUUUAAAGAGUAUUUCUUGUAGACACUUAGCAUAUUGCUUGCUUUUAUAUUUUUAGUGUUAACAUUAACAACAUUUUAUAUUAUUAUUGGCAUGGCUGGCUUUAAAUCUACCAUUAUAUUUAUUUUCUAUUUGCUUAUUGCUCCUUUUUUCCACUUUUGGAUUGAUAAUUUCUAGCAUUUUAUUUUUCCCUUGGCUAAAUCUCUUUGUUAGUUUUAGUAGCUUUGUGUACUUUCUGUAAUCACCAUCUCAUUCUUUCUAUUAUGAUCGUCAUACAUUUUACUUUCACAUAUGUUAAAAUGUCACCAUACAAUGUUAUUUUCUUUCUUCUAAUAAUCAAAUGUAGUUUAAGGAAUUAAGAAAUAAGGAAAAAGUAUUUCAUAUUUAAUCCAUAUAUUUGCCAUUUCUAGGUCUUUUAUUCUUUCAUGUAGACUUAUUCCUUCAUGUUGCAAUCUUCUAUCAGUUCCUUUCAGCCUGAAGAAGUAUCUUAAACAUUUCUGUGUAACAGAUCAACUUGUGAUUAUUUUCUUACUUUUGUUCAUCUAAAAAGUCUUUAUUUUUCUUUCCAUUUUGAGGGGUAUUUUCACUGGAUGUAUGCUUCUAGGUUGACAGGAUUUUCUUUCAGCAUUUUAAAGGUGUUAUUCCAUUGUCUCUGGCUUGCAAUAUCUCCGAUGAGAGAGAAGCUAUUAUGCUUAUCUUUGUUUUUCUAUAAGUAAGAGUCUUUUCCCCCUCUGUGUCUUAUCCCAUUUUGUGUUGCUCUAAAGGAAUACCUGAUGUUGGGUAAUUUAUAAAGAAAAGAGGUUUAUUUGGCUUUGGAAUUACACUUUGGAAUUAUUGGUGUCUGGAAAGUUCAAGACUGGGCAUCUGUAUCUGAUGAGGGACUCAGGCUGCUUCCAUUUCUGGCAGAAGGCAGAGGGGAGCCAAGAUCCUGUGGGGAGAGGGGAAGCAAAGGAGAGAGGAGGUGCUGGGCUCUUUUUAACAACCAGUUCUUUAAGGACCUAUUAGAGGUAGAAUUCUCUCACCCUUGAGAAAGGGCAUUAAUCAAUUCAUGAGGAAUUUGCUCCCAUGACCUGAACACCUCCCAUUAGCCCCACCUCCAACACUGUGAAUCAAAUUUCAACAUGAGGUUUGGAGGAAACAGACAACCAAACCAUAGCACUCUGGUUUGUUUAAUGUUUUUCCUCUUUAUCAUGAAUUUCCAGCAAUUAGAAUAUAAUGUUCAUUGGUGUGAUUUACUUUGAUUUUUAUCCUCCUGGAGGAUCAUUGAGCUCUUGGAUCUGAGGUUUUGUAUUUUUGACUUAAUUUGAGAUAUUUUCAGUCAUUAUUUCCUCAAAUAUUUUUAUCUGUACACUAUUUUCCUCAUCUUCUUUUGGGAUUUAUGUUUCACAUAUUUUAGAAUACUUGAUAUUGAGUUCCAAGUUACAGAAGCUCUUUUCAUUUCUUAUGACAACAUGCCCUAUACCCAAUGUAAUUAUUGAAGAAAAUUCAAUGUUUGCAUAGUAUGUAAUAGUAUGAAUGUGUAAUAAUUUACUUAUUAUAAUAAGAAGCUUCCAACAUAGAUCCCCCAAAUCUCACCUCCUGGUAUUCCCACUUGUAUGGAAUCCCUUCCUCUUGAGUAGGGGCUGGACCUAGCAACUUGCUUCUAAUGAGUAGAACACAGAAAAAUGAAUGGGAAAUCACUUCUAUGAUUAGAUUAUGAAACACUGCUAGCAGUCUCUUGCACUCUCUUGUCUCGCUCGUUAUGACAAUGUAAGCUUCAAUGUGGAGAGGCCCACAUAGCAAUAAAUGGAAGGAAGACUCUUAAAACAGCCAGAGAGUAACUGAGACCUUUGGAACUGAAUCCUACCAACAACCAUAUAAAUGAGCUUGGAUGUAGAUUCUUCUUCAGUUGAACCUUCAGAGAAAACCCCAGCCUCAGCUGCCACCUGAGAGCAGUCUUGUGAGAGGCCCCCAUUUAGAGAUCCCAGAAGAGCAACACCCAGAUAUCACAUACAUUGUGAUAUAAUAAAUCAUUACACUUUGGAAUUACACUUUGGAAUUAUUGAGUCAUUACACUUUGGAAUAAUUUGUUACACAGCAAUAGAUAACAAAUACGUUUCUUCUAUCUACUAUUUUUGGACAUGCCUCUUUCCUCUUUUAUUUGCUAUUAUAAGUAUUACUGCAUUAAAUAGCCUGGAGAAUAUAACUUCAUCUUCAGAAACUUAUUUACACAAGUGGCAUUGGUAAGUCAAAAAGUAUGAGCAGGCCUCAGUUUGGUAGUGCAUAUAAUAAAAGUUUGGAAUAAUACAAAGAAGAUUAACAUGGCCUCUACACAAAGAUAAUAUGCAAAUUCACGAAGUGAUCCAUAUUUUUUUUUACAAAGGCUUAAAACCCAUUCAAUGGAUGAAGGACAGUGUUUUCACCAAGUGGUGUUCUGUAUCUUGACUGUGGUUGUAAAUAUUAAUACAUGAACCUACACAUGGGAUUAAGUUGUACAGAACUACACAUGGGAUUAAGUUGUACAGAACUACACACACACACACACACACACACACACACACACACCAAUGAGCGUACGUAAAACUGGAGACAUCUGAAUGAGGGUGCUGAGUUGUAUCAAUGUCAGUAUGAGGUUGUGAAAUUAUACUGUGGUUUUUAAGAUGCUAUCAUUGGGGGAAACUAGGAAAAGAGUGUAUAUGAUCUAUGAUCAUUCUGUAUUAUUCCUUCCAACUAAAUGUGAAUCUAUAAUUAUCUCAAUAAACAUUGUAAUUUUUAAGUGAGA